rnacentral:misc_RNA from 1 species
GAACGCAUAUUGCGCUCUUUGGUAUUCCGAAGAGCAUGCUUGUUUGAGUAUCAGUAAACACCUCAAAAGAUUUUUCUUUAUUGAAAUGAUUUUGGACUUGAGCAAUCCCAACACCAGUCUUCACGGAUCGGCGGAGGGUUGCUUGAAAUGCAGGUGCAGCUGGACAUUCUCCUGAGCUAAAAGCAUAUCUAUUUAGUCCCGUCAAACGGAUUAUUACUUUUGCUGCAGCUAACAUAAAGGGAGUUUGACCAUUUUGGCUGACUGAUGCAGGAUUUCACAAGGGUCGGUAAAACGAUUUUUGUAAAACUCGAUCUCAAAUCAAGUAAGACUACCCGCUGAACUUAAG